rnacentral:lncRNA from 1 species
AUUGAGCUCUGGGAAAUGGGAUUUUUCUUUAUUUUUCACUGCACGUUUGUCUGCAGCAUAAUAUCUGUCACUGUUUACCAAAUCUCAACACAUUCACUUUAACAAUCCACUUGGAGUCAAGAUGGACUCAACUUCUGGGCUGGAGGAAAUACAAGAGAAAAACAAAAACAGCUUGAGGGCCUCCAAGUCCUACUUUAUUUCACGUUUUACUUUUUGACUCUCAAGGCAAACUUUAGAUUUGGAUAGAAUGGACACUCAUCUUACAGCAGAACAUUCAGCUCUCCAAGGAGCAAUGUAAAAGGCCCUGUGUGUACGGUGACCUCACAAGUGGCUAAUGCUCCUGCCCCAGCCUGAGCUGGACGGAGGACCAACUCAGAGUGCUUCCCCCUCUGACGUCAGCUGACCAGACCAGGUAACAUGAUGGGGUUAGGUUUCCUUAUUUUAGGUACCUUCAUGAAAGCGAACGAUAUUGCUCUGGCCCUCUUUCCCUCCCACUCUUGGACCAACACACAAAACUACAUCAUACAUUUGUACAUGAUUGUCAAGUGACAGAAUGGCUAUCUCUGAAGGUUCUCUUUCCUGUCCUCAAUUUUUUCCUGUAACAACAGGCCUAUUGAUAACAUCUAUGUAUUAGCUCCUAGAUGUCCCUUUCUUUGAUCUAAAAAAAACCUGAAUUCUGUUUAAAUAAAAGUAAACACCCCUAAGAGGAGUCUUGUGUAAAGAUGCUAUCAGUCAUUCACACCCUAGGAUAAAUUGCUGCAUUCAGGCAAUUAACAUUUAUUACAGGCCUUCUGAGGGUCUGUGCCAG